CACGCCUUAUACAUGCAAGUCGAACGAAGUAGCAAUACUUAGUGGCAGACGGGUGAGUAACAUGUAGGUAUCUUCCCUUUGGUGAGGAAUAACACGAGGAAACUUGUGCUAAUACCUCAUAAGUCUUUACAGAGAAAGCUUUAUGCGCCGAAGGAUGAGCCUGCACUUGAUUAGUUUGUUGGUGGGGUAAUGGCCUACCAAGACUUUGAUCAAUAGCUGAUCUGAGAGGAUGAUCAGCCACAUUGGGACUGAGACACGGCCCAAACUCCUACGGGAGGCAGCAGUAGGGAAUAUUGCACAAUGGAGGAAACUCUGAUGCAGCGAUGCCGCGUGAGUGAAGAAGGCCUUUGGGUUGUAAAGCUCUUUCGUCGGGGAAGAAAAUGACUGUACCCGAAUAAGAAGGUCCGGCUAACUUCGUGCCAGCAGCCGCGGUAAUACGAAGGGACCUAGCGUAGUUCGGAAUUACUGGGCUUAAAGAGUUCGUAGGUGGUUAAAAAAGUUGGUGGUGAAAUCCCAGAGCUUAACUCUGGAACUGCCAUCAAAACUUUUUAGCUAGAGUAUGAUAGAGGAAAGCAGAAUUUCUAGUGUAGAGGUGAAAUUCGUAGAUAUUAGAAAGAAUACCAAUUGCGAAGGCAGCUUUCUGGAUCAUUACUGACACUGAGGAACGAAAGCAUGGGUAGCGAAGAGGAUUAGAUACCCUCGUAGUCCAUGCCGUAAACGAUGUGUGUUAGACGUUGGAAAUUUAUUUUCAGUGUCGCAGCGAAAGCAUUAAACACACCGCCUGGGGAGUAC
rnacentral:rRNA from 1 species